rnacentral:rRNA from 1 species
CAGUAGCCACGGUAAUACGAAGGGUGCAAGCGUUAAUCGGAAUUACUGGGCGUAAAGAGCUCGUAGGCGGUCUGUCGCGUCUGCUGUGAAAACCCGAGGCUCAACCUCGGGCCUGCAGUGGGUAUGGGCAGACUAGAGCGCGGUAGGGGAGAUUGGAAUUCCUGGUGUAGCGGUGGAAUGCGCAGAUAUCAGGAGGAACACCGAUGGCGAAGGCAGAUCUCUGGGCCGUAACUGACGCUGAGGAGCGAAAGCGUGGGGAGCGAACAGGAUUAGAUACCCGGGUAGUCCCUGUCUCUUAUAC